CCCUUAGAUGUUCUGGGCCGCACGCGUGCUACACUGAGUGGAUCAGCGGGUCAGGUUACGCGAGAGCGUUUCCUAAUCUUCAAAUCCGCUCGUGAUGGGGAUUGACGGUUGCAAUUUUCCGUCAUGAACGAGGAAUACCUUGUAAGCGCGGGUCAUCAUCCCGCGCUGAAUACGUCCCUGCCCUUUGUACACACCGCCCGUCGCUCCUACCGAUUGAGUGGUCCGGUGAGGCUUUGGGAUCUAAGCGAAAAGAGCGUUUCGCUCCCUUUGCUGGGAGAACUCAGUCGAACCUUAUCAUUUAGAGGAAGGAGAAGUCGUAACA
rnacentral:rRNA from 1 species